rnacentral:tRNA from 1 species
UCCCAGGUAGUCCAGUGGCUAAGACUCUGAGCUCCCAAUUCAGGGGACCCAGGUUUGAUCCCUGGUCAGGGAA